rnacentral:lncRNA from 1 species
AAACUCGCAGAAAAACGAAAAGAAGAGUACUCCCUCUCUCUCCUCUCGAUCUCUCUACGCAUUCUCUCUCCUUCGGCUCUCUAUAAAUUCUCCCUCCUCCCGCUCUGUCUCUGCAUGCUCUCCACCCGCUCUGUCUCUAUGGCCAAGCUCUCUACGUAUUUCCUCUCCUCUCUCUGUAUAUUCUCUCACCUCUGCAGACCCACAAAUCUCGCACCCUACUACUACCAUUUGUCCCUGCUUCGGCACACAGAAGCUCUCUCCCAUUCAAGGUAUGGUAAUGCUCUCUCUCUCUAGUUUUUCUAUUUCCAUCUCUCCCUUUGGUUUUCACUCUUUUCAAGUACAAAACCUCCAAAGCCCCAAAGAACAGCACCAAAUCUGAGCAUUUUUGCCCUGAAUAUCCCAAAUACUAAGCAAAAUCUGGGCAAAAAUAUGGUUCUUUCUCUGUAGAAUUUUUUGCUCAGAUUUUUUUAUAGCCUUUUUUGUCUAGAUUUUUGUUUUCGUUUUUAUUGCAUUUUUUCCCAGAUUUUUAUUUUCAUUUCUUGAAUAUCCUGAAUACUGAGCAAAACCUUGUGUAUAUAUGGUUCAUUCUCUGUAGCAUUUUUUGCCUUGAUUUUUUUAUAGCAUUUUUUAUCCAGAUUUUUGUUUUCAUUUUUAAAGCAUUUUUUUCCAAGUAUUGGAAUACCGUUGAAAUACUGUUUAUAUGUGGAAAAAUGGGUGAAAAUGUAAAAGUUGGGAAAAAUGCCCUCUCUUUGUCUGAUAUAUAAAACUAGACAGCGCUGAUUUAAACCAAUAUGUGUUCAAGGGCAUAGUUCAAGAAAUACAUCCAACGUCUUCCUCCUUCAAAAGCUUAAAACUAAGAUAAGAAGUAGUGGUGAUAUUUUAUUGGAUGGAAAUAUAUGACCAUCGCAACGUGGUUGUAAAACUUCUGAUUCGUUCGAAUUAAUAUGUGUAGGCUAGAAGGAAAAGGACACUAUAGUGAUAGAUUUUUACCUUUUUACCUUAACUCCAAACUUAUUUCAGAUAGCCUGAUUUAUCGCGUUGGGGCAUAAGUUGAAAACAGUUCUUUAAAUUUCUGCUAGAAAGGUAAAGUAAAAGCAGCAAGAAUAUAUCAAAACUAUGAUCAUUUGAUAUAUCUUAAUACGCUCGUAUGAAACUUUCUUAUGAUUUAGGACUCUUAUAAUAGUUUUAGACUUGAUAAAGUAGUGUAUGGUAGCAAUUUGAUUUCGUUUUUUUGGCAAACAUAUGGUUUUUAACCCUGUGUAUAAAUGGUAGCACGACUUACACUCAUAUUUAAGGGCCUACUUGAUUCUUGAUUAUUUGACUUGCUGAAAUUCCGAGGUUAACUGAUGCCUAUACAUUAUGUUUGGAGCUUGAAAUGAGUUGAGGCAAUGUUUCUUGCCCAGAUUUUUUUAUAGAAAUUUCAUUUUGUUUUUUUGGCAAACAUAUUAUCUUCAAUCCUGUGUAUAUAUGGUAGCAUGACUUACACUCAUAUUUCUGGUUCUUGAUUAUUUGGCCUGCUGAAAUUCUAAUGGUAAUUGAUGCCUAUGUAUUAUGUUUAGAGCUUGAAAUGCCUAUUUAAGGAGUAGGCUUUGGAGUACUGUUGAAUUUUCAUCACUAUCCUUCUGUAUUCUUUUAUUUUUUAUUGUUGCAGUUGGUUUUAUGUGAAGAAUGUUAUUUUCAUGUUCAGUUUAUUUAGAUGAUAGGCAGAGUUUCAUAAAACUUAGUAUUUUUGGCCUUUGUUGUGACAUGAACCAACACAAGCACCAUUCAAUCGCGUCCAAUUCGAACUUCCAUAUGAAGAUGAACUGAUGAAGCAUGUUGAAAUUUUUUUACCACUUUGUUCCAAAAAGUUUUAUUAGGAAGUAGUCUUGAAAAUUUGAGAUAGGUAUUGCCUGAGGUAGGUGUCAUUCCUCUAUUGUACACCUUUUUUGCUCUGAAAAUUGUGACAUAUAUGUAGAUCGACUAUGAUUAAAUUGUGAUAUAGACUCAUUUUAUCUAAUCUUGGUAUCCUUAUUAACCAUAGGCUUUAUGGAGAUAUAUAAAGCCCUAUGUCAACCUUUACUAUUAGAAUGCAUACAUAAAUAUAUAUUUUUUUAUUUUUUUUGCUCAUUUUGUAUACUAUCUUUUAUUAUCUCUCAGAUUUUGUUAUAUUGAUUUCGAGAUUGAGUUUCCUUUUGAAGAUAAGUGUAUGAAUCCCUAUCAUGCUUUGCUUUUUGUUAUUUGGUGUUUCCUCUGCUCUCUGAUAAGGUAUAGUUUGCAUAUGUUCACCUCAAUGGCUGAUGCAAUCCAUAGAUGUGAUAGAGUGAGAAUAGGGCAUUUGAGUGCAUCUAAUCAUUUUAAUUGAAUGGAUCUCGACAACCAAUUCCCUCCAAGGUUUUGUAAAUGCAAACUAAGAUGUGGUCGGAUGCGUGUGUUUCUUUCAAAGACGCACAAUAACUAUAAUAGACAUUUCUAUAAAUGCUUUAAUUGGAAGGUAUGUAAUAUUCUUUCAUUAAGAUAAUGUAAAAACAUAUUGGUGUUCCAUUGUAAGUAUAUAUCUAACAUACAUUUAUCUUAUUGUGUUAACCAUUAGAAAGAGACUGAAUGUGGCUAUCUAGACUGGUGUGAUGAAAUUCUAGGUGAAGAAAAAAAGCAUGUGGUUAAAGGGUUCGUAUCUCAGAGGCCAGAUGCUUGUGCUGCCGAUAGAGUAGAUGCAUCUUUGCUGAGAAAGAGAAGAGCAAAUCUAUUGCUAUGGUCCCUGAGAAAGCAGACGUUCAAAUUUUUUUUCUCACAUGUGUAAUUUUAUUAAUGACAUUGAUGUUUGCCCUCAUUUUCUUUGUAAAAAGAAUGAGAAUAUGUUUUAUAGUGUCUAUAUAUUUAUAAUUGUAUACACUUAUUGUUCUCUAUCUUCUAUGGAUCAACAAAUUUAUUUUUAAUGUAUUUGUACAUUAAUAUAAU